UUCCUAUUUCUAACCACUAGCCCAGGCACUUUAAUUUACUCCUCCUAACCUCACUCUGAUUUGAGUUUAUCAUCCUGAUUUUACCACAGGAGAAGCUGGACUUCGCAGAUAGUCAGUGGCAGAGCUGGGUUCAACCCUGGAUCUGGCUGACUUGAAUCCUGUUCACAUUCUUUUCUCCACUCUGCCUUAUUUGCUGUCACAUCUUGGCUGGCAGGCACAGAGUCAAACCUGACAGGGACCGUGAAAAGCCGGGAGUUUUCAGCCUGCUAGGCAAGCGGCAGUGCCAUAGAGCCACUAUGCAAGAAAUGCCUUUUGCCCUCUGCCAUGAUUGUGAGACCUCUCCAGCCAUGUGGAACUCUGCCAUGUAAGAAGUGCCUUUCGCUUUCUGCCAGGAUUGUGAGACCUUCCCAACCGUGUUGAACUGUAAGUCAAAUUCAGUCUCCUUUUCUUUCCUGUCUCCGAUAUGUCCUAAUCAACAGCAUGAAAAUGGACUAAUACAUGAGUUAUACAGUAUCACUUCUCCAUAAAGUAGGGAACUAGAAUAGAAAUAGGGCCUUAAUUUUGGCUGCAAAAAAAUAAGUGUCUAAGAGUGGAAUUGCUAAUGUUGCACAUGAAAUGAUACAAUGUGAGGUGGUCAGGGAUUCAGAAAGUGAUGGAUUUAGGAAAGUACCCUACAAGCUUUGCAGUCUUUUGG
rnacentral:lncRNA from 1 species